rnacentral:lncRNA from 1 species
CCCAAGAUGGGUCUGCAGGACAGCUUUUGCUGGGCUUUUUAGUGUCUGAAAACAGUGGCAACAUGACCUCAUGGGAAAGCUCUUGCACAUGGAUCUUUCUUCAGCGUGCUGUGUGGGAUAGCCAGUGCCUGUUGUUAUGACACCGGCAUAUCCCAGCAGUGGGAGGCACCAUCGAAUAGAUCCGCAAAUGCAUGCAAGAAUGCACGAGGCAAAGGAAAACAGAAAGAAAGAAAAAAAAAGUGCUGCUUCUGCUAUGUCUGCAUGCUUCCAGCUGCUCCCUGGGAAGCAUCGGUCGCGGGCCCCAGGGCACCGCAGCCCGCUAGGGGGAGGCAUCGGCUCGGGAAAGCCCCCGGAUCCCGCCCCGCACCGCCCCGCGCCCGGGGCAGCUCCAGCUGCACGUUCUCCUACUCCCAUAGGUUUGCAGCAUCUGCAAAAAGCCUCUUGGAAAUGGAGCCUAUCUGCAUCAAUUCAAAGGGCUGUGUGCUGAGAGUGCUGAGCAGCACACCUGGGAGAAACCCCCUCCUUGGGCAGAGCACCCCCAACCUGUGAUGCACCAUGAAUGCAAGCUCAACAAUGGAGCUAGAGGAGAGCAGAUGAAAUUUUGUUUGGAAAAUACCAGCGCUUGCUUAGGUCGCAGCUGGAGAGAGGGAAGGAUGCCACUGUUCUUGUCCUGGAGGCAGGAGGGGAGGACCAGUGUGGACACAGGCUCCCGUGACAAGAGCAGAGAUGCAUUUUCAAGGACAGCUGCUUCGCCUGGGAGGAAGGACUGCCUGGAGGAGAUGUGGGACCUUCACGCUCCUUCUUGAGGAGAGCCAGCUCCUUUGCAGAAAAGCUUCUCUCUGUGGGCAGGAUCAAAGCUGCUUGCUCAGUAUUUUUCCUACUGUGACCCGAGGAAACAUUCACCUCACAUACACCCAGAAAAGCCCUGAGUAGGGCUUCAGCUGCUGCUGGAUACAGCAGGCUGAAGGCUGAACUCACUGCUCAGCUUCCAGCUCAGAUGUUGCCCCUGAGUAUUGUGUUUUUUCCACUUGAGUGGGGUUCCAGUAGAACCUGAGAGAGCACCUCUGUCCCUGGAUAACCGCACACCAAGAACAGCGUCAUGAUGCAAUGCCAGCUUCCAUAAUCUCACUGUUCCCCAUCUCCAGCUGAAGUUCCCAGCAAAACUAAAACUGACUUCUGCAGUGAAUAGGAGCAGGCCCUAUUAGCAUUCACUGUACCUGCUCAUUGACAGUGCUGCAUGUCACAUUAUCUUGUCACUGUAGGUAUCCAGUGUGCCAUCCUGCAGGAUACAUACUAUACAUUUUGAGCAGCUGGAGCCUGUGUGCUAAGGCACUAGUCUGCCAGCUGCCUUUCUCUGUCAGGCUGUCUCACUGCAUCCCUUCUACAUUUGCACAGGGCACUCAGCCUGUGAAACUGCGAAUUUCCAUCAGUUCCCCAGCAGAAAGGUUAGCUCAAGCUUGUGAUUUGUUCCAUGCGGGCAAUGGCUG